rnacentral:rRNA from 1 species
CCUACGGGUGGCAGCAGUGAGGAAUAUUGGUCAAUGGACGAGAGUCUGACCCAGCCAAGUAGCGUGAAGGAUGACUGCCCUCUGGGUUGUAAACUUCUUUUAUAAAGGAAUAAAACGAGGCACGUGUGCCUUUUUGCAUGUACUUUAUGAAUAAGGAUCGGCUAACUCCGUGCCAGCAGCCGCGGUACUACGGAGGAUACGAGCGUUAUCCGGAUUGAUUGGGUUUAAAGGGAGCGUAGGUGGGUUGUUAAGUCAGUUGUGAAAGUUUGCGGCUCAACCGUAGAAGUGAAAUGGAUACUGGCAGUCUUGAGUACAGAAGAGGUAGGCGGAAUUCGUGGUGUAGCGGUGAAAUGCGUAGAUAUCACGAAGAACCCCGAUGGCGAAGGCAGCUUACUAAUCUGUGACUGACGUUGAGGCUCGAAAGUGUGGGUAUCAAACAGGAUUAGAUACCCCAGUAGUC